AUUCCAGCUCCAAUAGCGUAUACUAAAGUUGUUGCAGUUAAAAAGCUCGUAGUUGAAUUUCUGGUCUCGGACAGCGGUCUGCCUCAAACGAGGUACGCACCACCUGUUCAGGUCCAUCCUCGGAGAAAACAUGCCUGUGAUUCAGUUCAUGGGUAUGGGAUCUUCGUCAUUUACUGUGAGCAAAAUAUAGUGUUCAAAGCAGGCUUAUGCCGUUGAAUACAUUAGCAUGGAAUAAUAAUCUAGGACUUCGGUUCUAUUUUGUUGGUUUCUAGUACUGAAGUAAUGAUUGAUAGGGAUAGUUGGGGGUGAAAGUAUUGAGCGGCCAGAGGUGAAAUUCUUGGAUUCGCUCAAGACUAACUUAUGCGAAAGCAUUCACCAAGGAUGUCUUCAUUA
rnacentral:rRNA from 1 species